GGACUGUGCUGGGAACAGAAUAAGAAUGGAUUUCAGUCACUUAACUCAGAGUGAAGAGUUGGACUUGAUGAUCCUCAUAUGUCCCUUCCAGCUCAGUAUAUUCUAUGACUGAAGAGGACUAAGAUACUAAGACCUAUCAAAGUAAUAAAAGACUCCAAGUUGAAACUGAUAUAAAAAUUAUGUAAUUAUUUACUUUGCCAAAGGAAUUAACAGUUUCAGGAUACACUUGAACUUGAUUACUAUAAGCCAACUUUGUUAUCUGUCUUUACUGAAGUUUUUUUUGUUUGUUUGUUUGUGCUUUUUUUUUUUUUUUUUUUUUCCCUUGGAGACCAGGCCAGAGAAAUCCACUACUUACAAGAUGGAUCACCAAAAAUAUUCCUAUUUUGCAUUAUGCUGAGAGAGCUCUUGGCUGAUUAAGGCAGCUUCUUCCUAAGAUGAAUAAACAGUCAUGGUUGCAUGUAAGCAUACUACACUUGGAUGCUAUCAACAUAUAGGACUCUCCUUCUGAGUGCAGCUGCUAGAUCUGGGUUCUGAUAUGUUAUGGUAAUUAACUAUGUGAGUACUAGUUCCCCAGAAGAGCAGCUGAGGAAAUACCUCUCACUGAGAUGUUUCUUCUUGAUCUUUCUAGAUGCAUCCUUUGGAGAGAAGAGCUAUAUGUUGGGUAGAGAAAAACAUUCAUCUUCCUAACUUUCACUUUCCUGCAUGGAUUUUAUUAGGAAACAAGCUUUAAAACAUUCUUUUUUUUUUUUUUUUUUUUUUUGGUGGAUAAAGGCCAUAAAUUGAACUGGACUAUGAACAAACAAUUACGGUUGUUCAGUCACUACUGCAUUAUAAGGAAUCCACCACAUAUGAUUGCUGUUUGUAGUAACCUACCGUGCAAGAAUAAUAUUUUCUUGAGUAGCGUGUGAAUGCAGUAGUGUGAACAGUGCUUUACGAGUCAUGAAGUUUUUCUCAAAGGCUAAAAGACAUAUUUUUUUUUCCUCAGAUACAUCUGAAAUGGGGAGUGACUUUCUGAAACAAGCUCUUCUUCCUAAAGGUCAGAUAAGCAUGCAAACAGCAGCUGCUGCUUGGAAGGACAGCCUUGAGAAGCCAGCAGGAGCAGAAACAGCCACAUCGCCAAUGGUCCUAAUCCAGUAUGCAACAGUAUUUAAGCUUUGGCAGGACAUCAGUGGUUAGCUGUUGCCUUGAAGGAGCCUUCCUGAACAAAUUUACUGUGAAACAGCAGCACCUUUUUCCUCUGCAACAAAAUGAAAACAGCAAUUAUACCACAGAUGGGAA
rnacentral:lncRNA from 1 species